UGCCAGCCGCCGCGGUAAUACGGAGGGUGCAAGCGUUGUUCGGAUUCACUGGGUAUAAAGGGUGCGCAGGCGGCCCGAUAAGUCAGGGGUGAAAUAUGACGGCUCAACCGUCAAACUGCCCCUGAAACUGUCAGGCUUGAGUCCAGGAGAGGUAGGUGGAAUUCCAGGUGUAGCGGUGAAAUGCGUAAAUAUCUGGAGGAACACCGGUGGCGAAGGCGGCCUACUGGCCUGGAACUGACGCUCAGGCACGAAAGCUAGGGGAGCGAACGGGAUUAGAUA
rnacentral:rRNA from 1 species